ACGAAUGCUGGCGGCGUGCCUAAGGUAUGCAAGUUGUGCGGUCGCCGAGAGGCGACAGCGGCAGACGGCUUAGUAACACGUAGGAAUCUACCCUAAAGACGAGAAUAGCUUGCCGAAAGGUGAGGUAAUACUCGAUGGUCCCCGCAAGGGGUAAAGCAGCAAUGCGCUUUAGGAUGAGCCUGCGGCCUAUCAGGUAGUUGGCGGGGUAAAUGCCCACCAAGCCUACGACGGGUAGCUGGUCUCACGAGGAUGAUCAGCAAGAGGGGGACUGCGACACGGCCCCCACACCUACGGGUGGCAGCAAUCGGGAAUCUUGCACAAUGGACGAAAGUCUGAUGCAGCGACGCCGCGUGCGGGAUGAAGGCCUUCGGGUUGUAAACCGACGCUAAAAAGGAUCGGCUAACUACGU
rnacentral:rRNA from 1 species